rnacentral:lncRNA from 1 species
CUAGCUCGGGCGGAGGCGAGGGCGGUGAGGAUCGUGUCGCGGACUGAGGCCUGCGAGCCUGCUCAGGGCGCCUGAGGCCCCUUGUACAAUACUUUGUUAAUUCUGUGGGUAACUGAUGCCGUAUCACUUUCGUAAUUGUUAGAUGCUUAUUUUGUCUUUCCACUUGAUGCUUUCGUUUCUCUUUGCGCCUACGUUUGCAUCCCUUGCUCGAUUUUUCGUAAAAGACCACCUCGAUCACUUCAAUGGUGGGGAAGCGAGUAGAGUUUCCGUAGCCCGGG